rnacentral:pre_miRNA from 1 species
UAAUAAUGAUGAUGAUGAUGAUGAUGAUGAUGAUGAUGAUGUUUGUUGUUGUUGUUGUUGUUGAUAUCAUCAUCAUCAUCAUCAUCAUCAUCAUCAUCAUCA